GGGUGUAUAGCUCAGUUGGUAGAGUGCUUGUCUCGCAAGCCCAAGGCCCUGGGUUCAAUCCCCAGCAUACACA
rnacentral:tRNA from 1 species